ensembl:miRNA
UAUGAUAACCAAUUAUCCUGGUUUGCCUGGGACUGAGGAGUUUUCUAGGAUGUAGAUCUUUUCGUGCUAAAACUGGGAGAGUC